rnacentral:ncRNA from 1 species
AUAUUUGUUAUGAUGGAGAAAAGUAGGUUGCAGAAAGGCCUUACAGAGAAGAAAUGCCAGAGGCUGAGAGCAUUUCAAAGUCGCUAGGCAACUGAAGUUCGCUCCUGAACUAUAGAAUUGAAGUAGCAGUAGGUUCUAUCGGUCGACGCCGUUACGUCUAAGGAGUGGUUGGAGUUUUAUUCAGCUAUUAGGGUGGUACCGCGGAGAAGUCUUCGUCCCUUUC